AUUUGAUUAGAAAUCCUGAGAGACAACAUUUCUUUUUAACAUUAACCAAGGUUGAGAAAGAAGAAGAAGGAGAGAUUUUGUAUAGGUAGAUCGAUCUUUUCACCACCACCACCACCUAUGACCAAUUUUAUCAUCUGUAGGACGAUUACAAGGUAGAUAUUACAAGGCCUUCCCUCAUCGGAAACAAGGAAGAAUACGGCAGCAACUGACGAAACAUCCGGUUAUUUAGCCAAUGCAAACAAACAUAUUAACCUGCGGGAAAAAACCCAGGUAGCACGGAGUCAGAUAGAGAUGGAGCCAUGAAAUAUGGCAACCUUGGGAACAUCUGCUUAUUUACGUGUUAUUAAGUGGUAUGAGGCUAGGAAUGAGUACAGAAGAAAAUUCUACGAAGUGCAACAACCUAAGAAACUAGAGGGGAAAUAGCACUCUGGAUGCUGAAGUGGAUGCGAAUGUAAGAGAUCAGCAUGAUGGGGGCAGAGUAGAUGACAGCAAACAAAAUAGUCUAAAUUUUGGCUUCUUCGCUGCUUUUGCUGAACUUUGGUGAGGGAUUGGUGAGCGAGGAAUCCUUUAAAGUUGAGCUUGGAGAGGUAGUUGCUGCAGGUGAUAUUCCCAAGGACUAUAUGCCACAUGCAUCUUGGUUUAUCCAGGCUCCGGAGACUACCUCGGUACCGUGUACACUACAUGGUAGUUUGGCAAAUCGAAGAAGACAUUCGGAAAGAGCUGCUUUUUGAUGCGAGAGUUAGUGGAACCCUUUUCAUAUAAAAAUCAUGGAAUUAGGUAUUCGGUUAUGAACUUCAGCAAUUAUUAACGGCGGCAAGAAACACUGAACGAACAAUCCUUACGAGCUUGACGGGUCAGCCAAAACUUCAUUAAAACCUUUAAAUUUUCUUUUCUACUGAAACCCUAACUUACAAACAGAAGAGUAAACUAGGCGGCCAGGAGGAUGGCAUCAUGGAGUUAAAGACUAUCAGGCAUCUUUUUGUAUUCGCUUCUAGAUGGGUUUCAAAGAUUGCAAGAGCUUGCUUUGAGAGAGAUUCUCUAUUUUUGAAACAGAUUUAGAAGCGAAUACAAGAAAGAAGAGCCUUUAUCAAAAGGCACUUGGAAGAUUUUGUAUGCUGAAACCUGGUGGCGGGUUGGGCUACGAGGAAGAUAAAAACCAACCAAGAGGUAAGAUAGCCAACCUAAUGUAUUUUAGCCCCUCAAUUUGUUAUCCGCUGUUUGGUUCGGAGUUGAAAUCAUAGCUUUUAGUUAAAUAGUACAUGGGUGUUACACAUUUUCAUUUGUUCACAGUCUAUUCAAAAUCUCUUGAGCAGGACCAUCUCAUGAAAAUGUUGAAUAAGCAUGCUAAAUUUCUUAUAUUAUGAACUACCUAGAGUUGGUAGCAA